CGAGCGCGGAAGCGCGAGGAAUCCCUGGAAUGAGGCGCCGCCCGCCCUCCGCGGGCUCCGCCGGGCUCCGCCUGGCCCGCCAGGACACGCCCCCCCGGACACGCCCCUCCCACGAGCAGGUGGGCGGCCAAGCCCAGAAAUGGCAUCAAUCUGAUCUACCUUGAAGUGGGGUGUCCGUGAGGGUCUGCGAGGGCCCAUGACAUCAGGCACGGUCCAGCGAGGAGAAAGGAUAGGCCAAGGGAGAGUGGGAACUACAGGAUAUCUAACACAGCUGCCAGCAGGUGAAGGUGGGGCGUCACCAAGACUGAUCAACGCAACACUUUGAAAGGCCCUCAGGAGUUCAGUCAAGUGAGACCAUCUCAGAGCCCACAAAUAAGCCUCACCUCUACCAUGACCCAACACGAAUUUCACCCUUCACCCAAUUGGAUGGAGUCCAAUGAUAGGACCAUUUUGAGUAGUAGUAACCCGAGUCUCAAGUUGUUUGUGGAAUUCAAUGAAGGUGGUAUUCCAAGGUUUGGAGCAGUACAUUUGAAACCUGUCAAGGAAUCAGCAGUGAGCAUGUUUCUGAAUGUCAGCUCAUUUCACAGCAUGGUUCUGAAUGAAUGCUCUUAAGCAAGACCAGACUUAUGGCCAAAGCAAUGGCUUAGACCUCAGAUCUCUGAGUGAUAUCUGUCUAACUGAUCCAAAGAUUGGAUUCAUCCUUACACAAGGAAUUUUCCUUCAAAUACCGUAAGAGCAAUUCAUCUUGGCAAUAGAUGCUUGCCCUUGUGCUUAGUAACAAACCAGUGGGCUGGGGCAGGAGAUAAUAGGAGCCAUCUUCCCGAGGAAAGAAUGUUGCAGAUGCUGGAUUCAAGGUCAUGGAGAGUUUGACCACAGGUAACUAGCUAACUCUCAGACAGAAUGGUUUGAGCCAGGGAACUUACCAGAAAUGAGCACUUGUUUUUCUCUGAGUAUGGAAUCACUCAGAGGAUACCACCACCUAGGAGAAAAAUUCUUCAAACCAAGAUUGCCACAUCUCUCUUGGCUCCAAUUUCUUGCUUUGCAUUCAGCUCUUACAAGCAUGUGCUAUAUAUAGGCAAGAAGAAAGUAAACAAGGAAGGAAGAAGAUAAACAUUCUUGGGUGCCAGCUAUGUGCAAGGCACCCUGCCGAGCCUACCCAUUUAAUGCAACUUAAUCCUGUGAGGAAGACAUUGUCAACCCCAUUCUAUGGAUGAAACAGUGGGGGCUCAGAGAAGGUAAAACCUUUGCCUUAGUAGUGCAGAGCCAGGAUUCAAACCAGCUGUCUUGAUCCUGAUUCGAUCUUUCAGUCAUACCACUGUUUACCCAGAAAAGACCCUGUUGAGAAUCACUAAAUAAACUAUUAAAUCUGUUAUAGACCAACACUUCAACCCUGAAGGGAAAUAUCUCCUUUUGGUGGCCCAUCCUCUGUGGGCUACCAUAUGGAAUUGGAACUUACUGAGGUUCUAACAUCAUUUUUGACAUCAUUUUUCAAAGGAUGGAGAAACACUGGGCACGUGAGAACCGCUGAGACAUCGGCAUCAGCCACACCAGAGUUCAAACCCCAGUCCCACCAUCUUCUAACUGCAUGACACGGGCACACACUUGGACACUGCCCACCCUUCUAUCUUCUCUCCUAUACAUUGGGGAUGAUUCCUACUUAGAAAGGUCUGGUAAAACAAGUGCUGACAGACAAAUACAGACGAAGACAAAUAUUGUGUGAUCUACUUAUAUGUGGAUAUGUGGAAUCAAAGAAAGAAAGAGAGAGAAGAAAGAAAACUCAUAGAAAAAGAGACCAGAUUUAUGACUGCCAGGGGCAGGGUUGGGAAGUAAUAGAAGGAAGGUGGUCAAAAAGUACAAACUUCCAGUUAUAAGAUAAAUGUAAUGUCCAACAUGAUGACCGUUGUUAACACUGACGUAUGGUAUGUAUCUGAAAGUUGUUAAGAGUAAAUCCUAAGGGUUCUCAUCACAAAGAAAAAAAAAUUUUCUCUCUUUUUCUUUUUUCAUAUCUAUACGAGAUGAUGGAUGUUAACUAAACAUCGUGGUGAUCAUUUCGCAAUAUGUGUAAAUCAAGACAUUAUGGCAUCCAGUGCUGUGUCAAUUAUACCACAAUAAAAAUGGGAAGGAGAACGAAGGAAGGAAGGAAG